rnacentral:rRNA from 1 species
UGUCUGAUUAGUGGCGAACGGGUGAGUAACACGUGAGUAACCUGCCCCCCUCUUCGGGAUAACCUCGGGAAAUCGGGGCUAAUACCGGAUAUGACUUCGCACCGCAUGGUGUGUUGUGGAAAGUUUUUCGGUGGGGGAUGGACUCGCGGCCUAUCAGUUUGUUGGUGAGGUAAUGGCUCACCAAGGCGAUGACGGGUAGCCGGCCUGAGAGGGCGACCGGCCACACUGGGACUGAGACACGGCCCAGACUCCUACGGGAGGCAGCAGUGGGGAAUAUUGCACAAUGGGCGAAAGCCUGAUGCAGCGACGCCGCGUGGGGGAUGACGGCCUUCGGGUUGUAAACCUCUUUCAGCAGGGAAGAAGCGAGAGUGACGGUACCUGCAGAAGAAGCGCCGGCUAACUACGUGCCAGCAGCCGCGGUAAUACGUAGGGCGCAAGCGUUGUCCGGAAUUAUUGGGCGUAAAGAGCUUGUAGGUGGCUUGUCGCGUCUGCCGUGAAAACCCGAGGCUCAACCUCGGGCGUGCGGUGGGUACGGGCAGGCUAGAGUGUGGUAGGGGAGACUGGAACUCCUGGUGUAGCGGUGAUAUGCGCAGAUAUCAGGAAGAACACCGA